CCUACGGGAGGCAGCAGUGAGGAAUAUUGGACAAUGGGCGCAAGCCUGAUCCAGCCAUGCCGCGUGCAGGAUGACGGUCCUAUGGAUUGUAAACUGCUUUUGCACAGGAAGAAACAACAUUACGUGUAAUGUCUUGACGGUACUGUGAGAAUAAGGAUCGGCUAACUCCGUGCCAGCAGCCGCGGUAAUACGGAGGAUCCAAGCGUUAUCCGGAAUCAUUGGGUUUAAAGGGUCCGUAGGCGGUUUAGUAAGUCAGUGGUGAAAGCCCAUCGCUCAACGGUGGAACGGCCAUUGAUACUGCUAGACUUGAAUUAUUAGGAAGUAACUAGAAUAUGUAGUGUAGCGGUGAAAUGCUUAGAGAUUACAUGGAAUACCAAUUGCGAAGGCAGGUUACUACUAAUUGAUUGACGCUGAUGGACGAAAGCGUGGGUAGCGAACAGGAUUAGAUACCCUGGUAGUCCACGCCGUAAACGAUGGAUACUAGCUGUUGGGAGCGAUCUCAGUGGCUAAGCGAAAGUGAUAAGUAUCCCACCUGGGGAGUACGUUCGCAAGAAUGAAACUUAAAGAGUAGUGACGNGAGAGAGACGACGACGACGACGAGGAGGGAGGAGG
rnacentral:rRNA from 1 species